rnacentral:rRNA from 1 species
GUGGGGAAUAUUGGGCAAUGGGGGAAACCCUGACCCAGCGACGCCGCGUGAGGGAAGACGGCCUUCGGGUUGUAAACCUCUUUUGUACGGGAAGAAGGAAGUGACGGUACUGAACGAAUAAGUCCCGGCUAACUACGUGCCAGCAGCCGCGGUAAUACGUAGGGGACGAGCGUUGUCCGGAAUUACUGGGCGUAAAGGGCGCGCAGGCUGUGCUGCAAGUCAGCUGUGAAAUGUCUGGGCUUAACCCGGGCAUGCGGUUGAGACUGCAGUGCUGGAGUGCUGUAGAGGCAAGUGGAAUUCCCAGUGUAGCGGUGAAAUGCGUAGAUAUUGGGAAGAACACCGGUGGCGAAGGCGACUUGCUGGGCAGCAACUGACGCUGAGGCGCGAAAGCCAGGGGAGCAAACGGGAUUAGAAACCCGGGUAGUCC